AUUUGCUCAUCGUCUGAUAUGAAUUAUUAAUACAAGAAUAUAUUAACAAAAGUAACUUGUUUCCGUAGUUUCGCCAAAAUUCUGCUGCCGCAGUGCUAUUCAUAGAAAUCCUAUUUUAUUAUAAUGUACCCGAUGUUGCUCAAAGUCCUCAAACUAUUUAUUCGAGUAGCGAUCUUUUUCGCUUUCUGCAAACCUCUCUGUCAAGGGGGGGCCUCCUCCUCUUUAUCUCCGACUGAAUGGGUCGAUUUGCCCUACAUUCUCACCUAUUCGCCCAACUCAUACUUCAUGAGUUCAGUGCGCACUAUUUACACGUGCAACUACAUGCAGUGCCAGAUAGCAUGCAACACUUGGACUGCGAAUGACGUCAGCAUCCUCCGAUAUGACUCAUCCGACAGGAACUGUGUGUGUUAUGACUACCCCUAUGGACAACUGUACCACUACUUGGACCACCCAAUUGACACAGAACUGUCCACGCAAAUAUUCGCCGUCAGAGACUAUCUGACAAGAGACAUGAGGCCAAAGGCAGAGACAAGUACAACGACGAUGACAUAAAAACAAGAAACAAACUGAAAAAAAAAACAUCUUGUUUUCAUUCACUCUUAAUAAAAAUGAGAAGGUCUAAUUAGGACUCACCAUCCAAAGAGUGAUUCUAGUUGCGAUGAAGAUGAUGAGAAGGAGGAACAUACACACUAAUGCGUAGAAUGCACCAGCCAUCCACAGC